GGAAGAGGGGAAACUGUUAUGGAGGAAAAUGUAUCAAGAAAGAGGAGAGCACACUUCGUGGUCAUUGUAAAUAGAGUGAUCAUGAAGGGUGUGGUUAGAGCCUGAAUUUGGGGGUGAGAAGCAGCCUUUCAGAUGUCUGGGAAGCUCACUGCCAGUGGAGGGACAGAGUGCCUGCGGUUGGAGCCUGUGGGCUAGAGGGAGGAGGAAGGGGUAGGAUGUGAGGCUGGGGGUGCAGCAGGCAGGUCACAGGCCGGUGCUCUGAGUUGGGUAGGGCCUAGGGAUGGCACAGGGUGAGGGCCCCGCUCUGAGGAGCAAGAAACAAGGGCAGGCGCCACAGCAACAAUUCAGGCAGAAGGAAGCCUUCUGAUCCUGACUGUGUGGAAGAAAGAAAUCAAGGUCAGUGUCAAGGGCAGUGGCCCGGGGAACAUGGGAGGGAAGGGUGGGCAUCAGCUAGUGGGGAGCGGGCCUGGUAUGGGGCAGUUGGGAUUUUUUUUCUUUAUUAAAUUUAAGACUUGGGUACAUGAAAUAAAAUCCAUUUCUGGGGAAAAACAAUCAAAACCCACAAUAGGGGAAAAAAAGAAAGUGAACACUAUCUGGGCCAUAUCAGAACCCAGAGUAGAGCUUUUAAAGAACUCCAGAUAAGUCAGAAGUGGAGAAAUUUGUUCAGCCCCACACACUCCCUGAUUGGAUCCCAAAAUCUAUUCCUUAAAGACUCUAGUGGGGAGCCCUGGAUUCUGUUAAGGUCCCUCCAGCUCCAUACCCCCAAUGUCCCUUUUUCUCUGAUCUGGUGGCAAAAUUUGUCUCAAAAUUUGGGACAGAUUGAUUUUUCAGUGACGGUAACACUUUCUGAUAAAUGCGGUUAAAGCCAUUUCUCCCCCCUCCCCCGCCCACCCUCUCCUGUAAGAAACUUAACUACAGGGGGAGAAAUGGCCUCAAAUGGAAGUAAACAGCUGGAGCUGAUGAAUUCCAGAAACAAGUAUUCCUAGAAGCGUUUAUGGAGGAAGGGGGGUGCUGGGAGAAGGAGAGAGAGAGAUGAAUGCCGUGGAGGUUAUGUAAAUAUAAUUAUUUCUAAGUAGAAUACCUUCAAUAUUUUCCAUUAGGUAGCGGGGAGGUCAUUGUGAGGCCAAUUGUCCAAAUAUGGCUGCUCAUUCCUCUGAGUCAGCAAAAUAUAUUAACAACAACAACGAAAAAGAUCUGUGGGAGAGAAAAAUUUCCUGCCACAUAUUCUGGUAAGUAUCUCUAAAUGUAUGGAAUCUUAUAUUUAGGGCUGUGGUUUGCAAACAUCUUUUCCAAGUGUGAAAAAAACCUCCUUUCAAAGGAAACGUGACUCAAAACGCCUUCCCACAACCCCCAGUCCAGCCUCAGGAAACCCCAGGAAUUCAAGUCUGGGUGUUUUGAGGGCUGACCUCAGACUAGAAACUACUCUUCAUCUGGGAGUUAGUUAGAAAUGCAGCCUCUGGGCCGGACCUGCCCCAUCGGAGGCUGCAUUUUCAUACCGACUCCAGGGGCUUUGUAUGCACCUUAAAAUUGAAGAGGCAGAUUGAGGGGAUUUACUCCUGAAAAUUUCUUCCUCUGUUGGAUCAUUCUAAAUACCUGGAUGAGGCGUCUUGAAAAUUAGUCUGGAAAUUUCCAGCUCCCAACCCAGGUACCGCUCUAAGUAGGGUAAUCCAGGGUAACUGUGUCAUCUGCUAGACGGCUUCUUCUAGUUUGUCAAAUCUAAAGUGUACCCCUCCUCUCGCAGAAAUGGCACAGGAAGAAGUGACGGUGCCUUGGAAAAAGGCAAGAGAAGAGAGAGAGUAAAAUGGUUAAAAGUAGAGGGUGUGAACCUGAGUUCCAGGGGCUUGAACUCAACACUUCCACCUCCUGCUUUGGGUAGACUCGGGCAAGUUAAUUAAAGUCCUGUGCUAUUUGUCCCCAUCGUCAAAGGGGGAUGGGGGUGGUGAGGAUGAUGAUGGUACCCAUGGUGAUGAUAAUAAUGAUGGGGAUGAAAAUGGUACCCAGGAUGAUGAUGAUAAUGAUGAGGAUGAGGAUGAGGAUGGUUCCCUUGAUGAUAACCAUGGUGAGGAUAAGGAUGGUACCCAUGAUGAUAAUAAUGAUGGGGAUGAAAAUGGUACCCAGGAUGAUGAUGAUAAUGGUGAGGAUGAGGAUGGUACCCAUGAUGAUGAUGAUAAUGGUGAGGAUGAAGAUGGUACCCAUGAUGGUGAUGAUAAUGGUGAGGAUGAGGGUGGUACCCAUGAUGGUGAUAAUAAUGAUGGGGAUAAAAUGGUACCCGGGAUGAUGAUGAUAAUGGUGAGGAUGAGGAUGGUUCCCUUGAUGAUAACCAUGGUGAGGAUGAGGAUGGUAUCCAUCAAAUGACUGAUAGGCAGGAGGCACCUGGAAUUGUCAAGGCAGCUGGUAAGGGCUUUUACUCCUGAUUAAGUAGGAUCUACACCUGUGUCCUGGGCCAUGCUUGUCAAGCACCUGAGUUGUGAACCCUGCUGGCCUAGGGGGGUAGCCUGGGCCUGGGUGCAUGCAGGGCCUCCUGGGCAGCCCCUCCACAGGGUGGUGCUGGCCCCCAGGAGCCUUUCUGCAUGAUACGGAGAGCCUCUGCCACCUCUCUGCUCUCUUGGCACCAUGAACCACUUGGUCUCAACCCAGCGAUCUGCUCUUAUAAAUAGGAGAGGAGAUAAAAAUAGAAAAGUUGUGGAAAACUGACACAGGGAAUUAGGUCACCCUAGAAAUGCCAAGACAUCAGCAAAGCUUCUGAUUAGCAAGGGUUUAAUACUGCGACCUCUGAUGGCUGCCAGGCCCUGGACGUGUAGGCUGAGAAUUCCAGAUGGAACAGGCCUGAAGGGAUGCCCCAGAAGCAACCCUCUAUCUCGCCACCCUCCAUAUUCAUGUUCCUAUGAAACUGCUCUGUUUGGGGUCAGAAAAGCAGCAGCAGAAACCAGGGGGGAAGCAUAAGGCAGGAAGAUGGGCUGACAUGAUGUGGAUUCAGUUAAACUUGAGUUUGAGUUUGGGUCCAAUUGCACCUUAAUUCUUGCCUCCGAGGCAAAUUCCACAGGCCACCUGUGGACGGAACCCUUUUCUUCUCUGGUGGAGAUGCCAGGACUCUGUAUGGGACCCAGAGCAAUGGCCAGUGGCUGGUCCUCCUGGGUGAAGUAGGGGAGCAAACGGGUGAGAAGCAUCUCAGCCUCAGAACAUGGCACACUCUUCAGUGCCUGACUCCGGGACAUUAAACUUCCAUCCUAUUUGGAACGCAGGCCCCUUGAUGACCCCAAAGGAGUGUCGUGUGUCCUUUGUGGGGGUCAGGAAGGAUGAGAAAGCAGACCCAGCCCUGGUUCUGCGGCCGUUGGCUCAGCAUCACCGCCAGGUGGGUUUCUGUGACUGAACCAUCAUCUCCCCAUGUUGUCUCCACAUCAGAGAAGGACACGGUUCAGGCUGCUUCCACACAUGACUCCACAAGGGUUUGCACUUUCUCUUGUUCAUUCCCAACCUGCCCGAGGUCCUGGAGGGAGUUGGCCUAACCAGGGAUCAGGGGACGUGGCGAGGGACCACAGUGUGGGUCUUUAUGUGACUUCAUCUCACAGGGAGCCAUGAAGCCUGUGCUGGGACCUCUGGGGACAGAGCCACACUGGCCUCCCACCUCCCUCCCCCAGAACCAUGGCCAAAACCCCCUCCUGAGGACCAAGACUCCUGCCACCAUCCGGUACCGUCUUGAUCCUUUGGGCCAUAUACACAUACCACACACUACAGUCUGCUGCUCAGUUUUUCUGCCCUAAGUGGACUCACAUUUUCACUUCAAUAAAUUAGUUCAUAGAGAAGUUAACCAUUGCUGCACUAAACAGGAAAGUGGUAUCAUUGAUCGGACCUAGAUGUUACUAGAAAAAAAAUGCCAUGGGAGUUCCCACUGUGGCACAACAGGAUCAGUGGCAUCUUUGCAGUGCCAGGAAGCAGGUUCAAUCCCUGGCCCGGAGCAGCGGGUUAAAGGAACCAGUGUUGCUGCAGCGGUGACUUAGGUCACAACUGUGGCUCGGAUCUGAUCCCUGGCCCGGGGACUCCAUAUGCCAAGGGGAGGCCAAAAAAGUACC
rnacentral:lncRNA from 1 species